UACGGAAGGCAGCAGUGGGGAAUAUUGCACAAUGGGCGAAAGCCUGAUGCAGCUAUGCCGCGUGUAUGAAGAAGGCCUUAGGGUUGUAAAGUACUUUCAUCGGGGAGGAAAAACAAAACUAAUAAUUUUAUUUCUUGACGUUACCCGAAAAAGAAGCACCGGCUAACUCCGUGCCAGCAGCCGCGGUAAUACGGAGGGUGCUAGCGUUAAUCAGAAUUACUGGGCGUAAAGAGCACGUAGGUGGUUUUUUUAAAGUCAGAUGUGAAAUCCCUGGGCUUAACCUAGGAACUGCAUUUUGAAACUGAAAUACUAGAGUAUCGUAGAGGGAGGUAGAAUUCUAGGUGUAGCGGUGAAAUGCGUAGAUAUCUGGAGGAAUACCUGUGGCGAAAGCGGCCUCCUAAACGAAUACUGACACUGAGGUGCGAAAGCGUGGGGGCAAACAGGGAUUAGAUACC
rnacentral:rRNA from 1 species